AGCGCUGAAGCAUAACAGCGUACCGGAAAGCCUUGUUAUGCGAAGCUUUCGAGAGGGGUUGGGCAGCGAAACCUCAAACCGGAGUAGGCAUUAGCCGAAAGAAAAUGCCAU
rnacentral:sRNA from 1 species